AACGAACGCUGGCGGCAUGCCUAACACAUGCAAGUCGAACGGAUGGUAGCAAUACCAUUAGUGGCGGACGGGUGAGUAACGCGUGGGUAUCUACCCUAAAGUUCGGGAUAACUGCGGGAAACUGCAGCUAAUACCGGAUGUGGCCUGAGGGCCAAAGGAGCAAUCCGCUUUAGGAGGAGCCCGCGUCCGAUUAGCUAGUUGGC
rnacentral:rRNA from 1 species